rnacentral:rRNA from 1 species
UGGGGAAUAUUGCACAAUGGGCGCAAGCCUGAUGCAGCCAUGCCGCGUGUGUGAAGAAGGCCUUCGGGUUGUAAAGCACUUUCAGCAGGGAGGAAGGCGUUAAGGUUAAUAACCUUGGCGAUUGACGUUACCCGCAGAAGAAGCACCGGCUAACUCCGUGCCAGCAGCCGCGGUAAUACGGAGGGUGCAAGCGUUAAUCGGAAUUACUGGGCGUAAAGCGCACGCAGGCGGUUUGUUAAGUCAGAUGUGAAAUCCCCGGGCUCAACCUGGGAACUGCAUCUGAUACUGGCAAGCUUGAGUCUCGUAGAGGGGGGUAGAAUUCCAGGUGUAGCGGUGAAAUGCGUAGAGAUCUGGAGGAAUACCGGUGGCGAAGGCGGCCCCCUGGACGAAGACUGACGCUCAGGUGCGAAAGCGUGGGGAGCAAACAGG